rnacentral:snoRNA from 13 species
GGUGCACAUGAUGACAUUAUUUAGCGACCAAAGUCUGAUGAAGAUGAUUGCACCUCAUUGUCUGAUGCACC